CCGCUUUCAGCAAGGAAGAAGCGAAAGUGACGGUACUUGCAGAAGAAGCACCGGCUAACUAUGUGCCAGCAGCCGCGGUAAUACAUAGGGUGCAAGCGUUGUCCGGAAUUAUUGGGCGUAAAGAGCUCGUAGGUGGUUCGUCACGUCGGAUGUGAAAAUCUGGGGCUUAACCCCAGACCUGCAUUCGAUACGGGCGAGCUAGAGUGUGGUAGGGGAGACUGGAAUUCCUGGUGUAGCGGUGGAAUGCGCAGAUAUCAGGAGGAACACCAAUGGCGAAGGCAGGUCUCUGGGCCAUUACUGACACUGAGGAGCGAAAGCGUGGGGAGCGAACAGGAUUAGAUACCCUGGUAGUCCACGCCGUAAACGGUGGGCACUAGUUGUGGGAACCUUCCACGGUUUCUGCGACGCAGCU
rnacentral:rRNA from 1 species